GACGAACGCUGGCGGCGUGCCUAAUACAUGCAAGUCGAGCGCAGGAAACUGACGGAACUCUUCGGAGGGAAGGCAGUGGGAUGAGCGGCGGACGGGUGAGUAACACGUAAGGAACCUGCCUCAAGGAUUGGGAUAACUCCGAGAAAUCGGAGCUAAUACCGGAUAGUUCAUCGGACCGCAUGGUCCGUUGAUGAAAGGCGCUUCGGCGUCACCUUGAGAUGGCCUUGCGGUGCAUUAGCUAGUUGGUGGGGUAACGGCCCACCAAGGCGACGAUGCAUAGCCGACCUGAGAGGGUGAUCGGCCACACUGGGACUGAGACACGGCCCAGACUCCUACGGGAAGCAGCAGUAGGGAAUCUUCCACAAUGGACGAAAGUCUGAUGGAGCAACGCCGCGUGAGUGAUGAAGGUUUUCGGAUCGUAAAACUCUGUUGUAAGGGAAGAACACGUACGAGAGGGAAUGCUCGUACCUUGACGGUACCUUACGAGAAAGCCACGGCUAACUACGUGCCAGCCGCCGCAGUAA
rnacentral:rRNA from 1 species